rnacentral:rRNA from 1 species
AGAGUUUGAUCAUGGCUCAGGGACCGAAACCGCUGGGCCGGCCGUUGCCUUUUAACCACCAAUGCCAAAGUUCGGAAAACGAAUGGAUCCGGGGUGGGUUGGCCUUUGACCACCCCGGCCCUUGGAUUUUAGGUUGGGCGAAAACGGGGGUUAAGUUUAACCACCGUUGAAGUUAACCCUUGCCCCUUCCAUUUCUUGGGAAUAAACCCUUCGGGAAAAUUCGGGGGCUUAAUACCCGGAAUAUGAGUUUCUUGCCCGCAUGGUGGGGAUUGGAAAGUUUUUUCGGUGAAGGAUGGACUCGCGGCCUAUCAGUUUGUUGGUGAGGUAGUGGCUCACCAAGGCGAUGACGGGUAGCCGGCCUGAGAGGGCGACCGGCCACACUGGGACUGAGACACGGCCCAGACUCCUACGGGAGGCAGCAGUGGGGAAUAUUGCACAAUGGGCGAAAGCCUGAUGCAGCGACGCCGCGUGAGGGAUGACGGCCUUCGGGUUGUAAACCUCUUUCAGCAGGGAAGAAGCGAAAGUGACAGGUACCUGCAGAAAAAGCGCCGGCUAACUACGUGCCAGCAGCCGCGGUAAUACGUAGGGCGCAAGCGUUGUCCGGAAUUAUUGGGCGUAAAGAGCUUGUAGGUGGCUUGUCGCGUCUGCCGUGAAAACCCGAGGCUCAACCUCGGGCGUGCGGUGGGUACGGGCAGGCUAGAGUGUGGUAGGGGAGACUGGAACUCCUGGUGUAGCGGUGAAAUGCGCAGAUAUCAGGAAGAACACCGAUGGCGAAGGCAGGUCUCUGGGCCAUUACUGACACUGAGAAGCGAAAGCAUGGGGAGCGAACAGGAUUAGAUACCCUGGUAGUCCAUGCCGUAAACGUUGGGCACUAGAUGUGGGGAACAUUCCACGUUUUCCGCGUCGUAGCUAACGCAUUAAGUGCCCCGCCUGGGGAGUACGGCCGCAAGGCUAAAACUCAAAGGAAUUGACGGGGGCCCGCACAAGCGGCGGAGCAUGCGGAUUAAUUCGAUGCAACGCGAAGAACCUUACCAAGGCUUGACAUGCACCGGGCGACUCCAGAGAUGGGGUUUUCUUCGGACUGGUGCACAGGUGGUGCAUGGUUGUCGUCAGCUCGUGUCGUGAGAUGUUGGGUUAAGUCCCGCAACGAGCGCAACCCUCGUUCCAUGUUGCCAGCGCGUAAUGGCGGGGACUCAUGGGAGACUGCCGGGGUCAACUCGGAGGAAGGUGGGGACGACGUCAAAUCAUCAUGCCCCUUAUGUCUUGGGCUUCACGCAUGCUACAAUGGCCGGUACAAAGGGUUGCGAAACUGUGAGGUGGAGCGAAUCCCAAAAAGCCGGUCUCAGUUCGGAUUGGGGUCUGCAACUCGACCCCAUGAAGUCGGAGUCGCUAGUAAUCGCAGAUCAGCAACGCUGCGGUGAAUACGUUCCCGGGCCUUGUACACACCGCCCGU